GCCGAGCUGGGUAACGCUAGCUUGUAACCCGAGUGGGGGCUUUGAGGUGAUUGGACGAUGACUCGGCCCACCAGUCAGGGCCAAUGGGUGCGUCUUUCUGGCCCGCCCGUUCCAAGUCGAGAGUUGAGCCAUGUGGCCCGAGCGAAGGCUUGGGCCUCGUGGCUCCUAGAGUGGAGGGCACCGCGUGAGGCUGGUUUCACAGAGCAGCGAAAACCUCCCGCUUUCGACAGUGGAAGGAUAACGGGCCGGUGCAUCCAUGACCCGAAUUGGCUGGUGGGCUGAGAUCAAUCGGACAAUUACCUUU
rfam:Corchorus olitorius cultivar O-4 contig15362, whole genome shotgun sequence.